AUCCCACUACCCCAGUGCAGCAAGCAACUCUUCUUGAAAGUCUCAGUUAAUGACCUGGAACAUGCCUUUAUGGCUUUCCAAUGAAGUGUGAAGUGUUGCUGUUCUUGUCAACAAACUGUCAAGUCCCUUGUACCACUUCCAGAAGCUUUAAGGUCAGAGAAAUGAUUUGGGGAAACCCUGGCUGGGAACUUUAGGAAAGACACAAAAAGGUGUCAGCUAGGACUCUUUAGGGAUGGUUUUAGUUUAUUUUAAAAACCUGGUGUCAAAAGGCUUGUUUAAAUUCUAGAGCAAACACAUCAGAGUAUUGCAUAGUCCAUGUUUAUUGUAAGUGUCAGCGUCUUGGGUCACGUUUAUACUGUAACACGCUCUGUACUUUUCUUCUGUGUGAGUCAGGAUUAAAAUUUUCUUGAGAACUUUGUAUAGCCCUCAGUUUCCACACAAAAACAUAGAGAAUCAUUUUGAUUCAGAUAGAGCAACCAAAAAAGGAGUCUAGGAGGCUAGAUGUGUGUGCCUUUAAAGCUGCAUCCUCUGAAAUGCCAGCAAAUAAACUCCACCACUGCCAGGGCCCUGCUUCAAAGAGUGGAGAGUCUGAUACAUGGAAAGUGACCAACUUGCCGUGUAAGUUCCUGCUGAGGUUCCAACUAGCUGUGAAUUUGUGCACCUAAUAUUUGCCUUCCCUACCUCACAGUUAGUGUAAUGACUGGUAUCAACAGGCAAUAGCCAAGCAAGAGUCAGCAGGUUGCGGGGUAGCGGCAAGGGACAACUGAGACAUGCUCAGUACCUUUAUUGUACUUGGAGCACAAAUUUACUAGUUAUAGUGACCACAGAGUUUAGUUAUUUUAUUUUUGCAUUUCUCACAGAAAUCAUAAAAUUGUAUCUGAUGUGUUUGAUGUCAAGCCCCUAAUCAGGAAUGUAACUUCAAGCUUAAAACCUUGUUCUUGUGAUAAAAAAUAUAAUCCACUUGGCAGAAAGCCAUUUCAUGAGGAUCCGAUUUAUGUGAUGGUUUCAAGAAGAGUUUUAUUAGUGACAGUUGAUGAUUGCCCCUCACUGAAAUAUUAAUUACAUAGUCUAUAUAGAGCUUCACUUUACACUGUAAAUGUUUUCCUAAAAUGGUGCCUAUGAAACAAAUACUUGUCCCCAUUUCUUCACAUUAUCAUUUCAAAAGCACUGUAUCUUUCUUUCUGCUUGAUCAUCCUUGGAGGUGGCACCUCCAAAAUGUCAGCUCAAAAUCUCUCUGCCUUCAGCCUCUCCAAUGAGUAAGUUAACGAUCUGUAAAUAAAUCCUUAAAUGUCCUCGGGAAUCUGCCCUUUGAAGGACUCCUAUUAGAAACUGAAGACUUUCUGAAAUGCAAAUAUUCUCCUCGUUCUAGGGCUGGCCUGAAGUUUGGCCCUGGGCUUUCUAGAAGGGAGCAAAACCCUCCCACAGAGCCCCAAAGCCUUCCUUUUAGUGCUUCUCAUUGUCUUUCGGAAAGAAGCUGCCUAGAAAAUCUUUAUCUCAUAUUUUUUCAAGAGGAGUAGGAGGAAGAUUGAAAAUAGGUCUGGCGGCUUAAUCUGGGUUGGCUGUUUUUGCCAGCAAUCUGUAAAGUGUUUUUCAAGGAUAAGAAGUUUGGGCCCGGGGCCAAAGCUCAUGUCUGUCCUGGGCAGGAAGAUAAACGAUCUCUUUAACCCACUGCUGUGCUCUGUUUACCCCUGUGCUUGAAGGUGAACACCCGGCCUGCCGCAGGCCCAGAGCUUGUUUCUUUCCAGGCACGACCCAGCUGGGCGGCCAGGGCAGGGCCCACCCUUGGAGGGCUUAAACUCCAAAUGAGAACCCAUCCGUCGGAUUGGUAUUUGGCUUCUCAUGCCGCCUGAGAGGCUCAGGAAGGAAACGAAGUGCUCUCGCUUUUCAGGGCCCACAAAGGUCAGUUCCCAAGAGGUCACAAGAACUCAUGGAAGGUUCCUACAAGCUACCAAUGGCUGCCAACCACCAACCCCUGGGAAGCUCUGGGGCAAGAACUCUGGCCGGUCCGGGCUUCAAACAGAUCUGGAGCUGCACACCUAGCGGGGUGUCAGCCCAACCGCGCUUCCUGCUUCCUGUAAUGCACACGAAGCGCUGCGAGCGCCCGAGCUCACGGCAGAGGGAUCAGGGACAGAGCACAGCCUGAGGGCAGCGCAGGUGGAGCUGGGAUGUGUCAGGCUCAUCUCAACUGGAGGAACCAAGAACAGCCUUUGUUUGCUCCAUUGCCAGGCUGCAGGGCGUCUGAAGUUGCCUUACUGGCAGGGAGUAAUCCAUCAGCAGCAUUGGUCCUGAAAUCCCCCCAACUGAACAUGACGAGCAGGCCUGGCGGAAUCCAGGGCAUGUUCUCACCAGAAGAACCAGACCCAGUUCUGGCUGUGGCAAAGGCACUGAAGAUUUAUUCUGGAACAGUGAGCAUCACAGCAACCCCACCCUGAGAGUACACACCUAUACCCCCAGCCCUGCAGCCUUCUCUUCCCAUUCAUUGAUUGCUGGGUGCCUGAAAGGCAUUCCACCUCAUCUGGGCAGGUAGCCUGGGUAUACCUGUUGGGGAUUUCACCCCACUCCCAGCCCCAAAUUCUCAAGGUAUUUUGUAAAUGUGAGACUUAAGGAACUCCUGCUUCAGAAAUGCCUUUGUCCUCCUCCUGUAUGCAGUGCUAUUUUCAAGAGCUGUAUUUAAGUCCUUCUGAGAAAUUCCUGCCCCUCAGUCAAGAUUUAGCCUCCUUGCAUCCACCUUGUGGGCUUCCUUGGUGCACAUCUCUUACCAGAGCUAAGGGCUUAAGCAAUUUACCUGGGACGCGUCAGUCUCCCCACCAGUCCCCGAGCAUUCUCAAGGGCAGCGACUCUUCGGGAUGGGGCUUCCAUCACCUAAUACGGAGGCUUCUGCCAAUGCCAAGUUUCUGUGAAUGUUGCAGUCUGUCCCAAAGACUCUUUUCUCAACUAUCAUCAUCUUAAUUGUUACGGUCUCAGUUCCUUCCGCAAGAGUCUCCUUACUUCUUUAGACCUCAUCUGUCUUACCGAAUGGUGGGGUUGGGUCAUCUGGGGUCAGAGAAACAGUGAAAAAAAUUGCUGAUAGUACUAUUUCUCGGGAUAAUAAAGUGUCCUUCUUCUCUGA